rnacentral:rRNA from 1 species
GUUCUCGGGGAGGGAUGAAGGCUUUGCCUGCUAUCUCUUACCCAUGUCUUUUGAGUACCUUACGUUUCCUCGGCGGGUCCGCCCGCCGAUUGGACAAAUUAAACCAUUUGAAGUUGCAAUCAGCGUCUGAAAAAACUUAAUAGUUACAACUUUCAACAACGGAUCUCUUGGUUCUGGCAUCGAUGAAGAACGCAGCGAAAUGCGAUAAGUAGUGUGAAUUGCAGAAUUCAGUGAAUCAUCGAAUCUUUGAACGCACAUUGCGCCCCUUGGUAUUCCAUGGGGCAUGCCUGUUCGAGCGUCAUUUGUACCUUCAAGCUCUGCUUGGUGUUGGGUGUUUGUCUCGCCUCUGCGUGUAGACUCGCCUCAAAACAAUUGGCAGCCGGCGUAUUGAUUUCGGAGCGCAGUACAUCUCGCGCUUUGCACUCAUAACGACGACGUCCAAAAGUACAUUUUUACACUCUUGACCUCGGAUCAGGUAGGGAUACCCGCUGAACUUAAGCAUAUCAAUAAGCGGAGGGAAA